UAAUACAUAGGGUGCAAGCGUUGUCCGGAAUUAUUGGGCGUAAAGAGCUCGUAGGUGGUUCGAUACGUCGGAUGUGAAAAUCAGGGGCUCAACCCCCUGACCUGCAUCCGAUACGGUCGAGCUAGAGUUUGGUAGGGGAGACUGGAAUUCCUGGUGUAGCGGUGGAAUGCGCAGAUAUCAGGAGGAACACCGAUGGCGAAGGCAGGUCUCUGGGCCAAUACUGACACUGAGGAGCGAAAGCGUGGGGAGCGAACAGGAUUAGAUACCCUGGUAGUCCACGCCGUAAACGGUGGGCGCUAGUUGUGCGAACCUUCCACGGUUUGUGCGACGCAGCUAACGCAUUAAGCGCCCCGCCUGGGGAGUACGAUCGCAAGAUUAAAACUCAAAGGAAUUGACGGGGGCCCCGCACAAGCAGCGGAGCAUGCGGCUUAAUUCGAUGCAACGCGAAGAACCUUACCAGGGUUUGACAUCCUGCGAAUCCCUUGGAAACGAGGGAGUGCCUUCGGGAGCGC
rnacentral:rRNA from 1 species